GCCCCUUUAGCUCAGUGGUAGAGCGCGCCACUCGUAUUCCACCUCUUCUCAAGAGGUUCUUACCAUGGCGAGGUCGCUUGUUCAAUCCAGGCAGGGGGCA